GUAAGUAUGCAAAUAGUAACUAAAAAAAUAAUUAAGGGGAACAACAGUUGAUAAUAUGGAGACCCAGAAAGACAAACCUCCACUUUUCGCAACUCAGAUAGCAUCAUUCCGAUGGAUUUGUAAUUGUUGCGAUAUUAGAAAAUACAAAAAAAAAAAAAAACACAACAAUAACAACAUUCUUACAUAAAUAGCAACAAUGUUUUUGAGUUCUGAGUGUGUAAUCCCUAGAGUUGAUAACACUCACCUGAACAAAGAAUAAAUGUCAAACAAAAGUUCAUACAAAAAUUAAACAUCUGCUAAUAAAUAACUAACCCAACAUGAAUUUAACCUGAAUCAAACACGAAUAGUAAGUAAAUUAUGAAGAAAAAUCUAAUAUCAAGGACCCCUAAAAUCGAAACAUGAGUACCUUAUAGCAAAAAAAUCAGUUAAUGGUUUAGUAAGCAUUAAAACUAAUAAUACUAAUCUUGGUUAUUUGAUGUUACAAAUAGAAUCACUUAGACGAAAAAGUUAUCGUCUUGCUAUAUUAAUGGGAUAUAGAUAAAAUCAAAGCUACCUGAUGAUGCCUACGGAUUCUGAGUGCACGUGCUUUGAAUUCACAUAAAUGGCAAGGUCGGAAGCUAUUGUGCUCUUUAAAGAAUCAAUCUUUUUUCGAAAAACGACCACCAGAAUUCCUUACCCUUCUCAUUGCAUGUUGGUGUCGUGAUUCGUGAAGAUAAGGUUGUGUAAGCUGAAGGUUACUGGUGGACUGAUGUGUCCUCCUGUUUAACACUAAAUGAUAAGCAUGU
rnacentral:lncRNA from 1 species